ensembl:lncRNA
GCCGUGGACAGGGGCUCUCAGGUGUCUCUGCCUGAGUGGACGGGUCGCAGUGCACCUGAGAAGGGCAGAGGAACCAACUGCAAGAUCACCUGCCCGAUUCAGGUGUGCCAUCAGACACUGCCGGGUCGACCUGGAAUCCAGAAAGCUCCUCUUCCAUCAUGAGGCUCCUGUACCUUCUCUUCCUCUUACUCAUAUGUCUUAUCCAGACGAUAUCAGGGAAAGGAAAAAAGAAAAACCUUGACUGUGAGAAAAUGGGUGGUGCCUGCAGGUAUCAGAACACCCAUGGGUGUGUCAUCCUGCCUGGAGAGUGCCGGAGUCGGAAGAAACACUGCUGCAGACUCUAGUUUCAGCAUCGGAGCGUCCACAGCAGCACGAGACACUCCCCACCGCUGAGUCCUGUUUAAAAAGAGCCGCUGCUCACUUGGGUCCCGUGGGGUCUUUCUGAGUGCACGAGGUCAUGAACUGGAUGGGAAGGACAUCGUUCUGACCCAGGGAUUGAGCCCGCAUCUCCUGUGUCUCCUGCAUUGGCAGGCAGUCUUUAGCACUGAGCCCCAGGAAAGCCAACCUGUUAAUAUAUGUCUACAAAUGUAUGGACUGGGGGAAAGAGCUUUGAGUGUGCGUGUGUGUGUGUGUGUGUGUGUGUGUGUGUGUGUUAUACUAUGAAAAGUCACGGAGGUUUUGUGUCCCUUUGUGGAAGGACGUCUGUGUUUCCCCUGGCUUAUGGGUUUCCACGUGGUCAACAUGUGCUUAACUUCCCAAGAGACAGCAAACUGCUUUCUGAAGCAGCUGUGGUCGCUGCUGACAAUCUCAGUGGCCUCUGAGUUCCCAGUCUCUCCAUGUUCCCAUCCCUCGUCACACCUUCAUGUAAAAUUCUCCGUGUUUCUCUGUUAAAA